GACCAAUCAUACACUUAAAGAUAUCAGGCUCCGUGACAACCAGAUUACUGAUAAGGGAGCAGAACUCCUCAUGGAAGCACUGACUGAGAAUACCACUCUGGAACAUCUCUGGAUGUUUGACAACAAGUUAUCAAAGGAGGGAGUCAGGAAGCUGAAGGAGUUCACC